AGAACGACCGCUGGCGGCAUGCCUAAUACAUGCAAGUCGAACGAACUCUUCGGAGUUAGUGGCGCACGGGUGCGUAACGCGUGGGAAUCUGCCCCUUGGUUCGGAAUAACAGUUGGAAACGACUGCUAAUACCGGAUGAUGACGAAAGUCCAAAGAUUUAUCGCCAAGGGAUGAGCCCGCGUAGGAUUAGCUAGUUGGUGAGGUAAAGGCUCACCAAGGCAACGAUCCUUAGCUGGUCUGAGAGGAUGAUCAGCCACACUGGGACUGAGACACGGCCCAGACUCCUACGGGAGCAGCAGUAGGGAAUAUUGGACAAUGGGCGAAAGCCUGAUCCAGCAAUGCCGCGUGAGUGAUGAAGGCCUUA
rnacentral:rRNA from 1 species